rnacentral:rRNA from 1 species
AACGUAGGACACAAGCGUUAUCCGGAGUUACUGGGCGUAAAGCGCGUGUAGGCGGACCACCAAGUCGGACGUGAAAGCCCUGAGCUCAACUCAGGAACUGCAUCCGAAACUGGCGGUCUGGAGUAGUGGAGAGGAAAGCAGAAUUCCUGGUGUAGAGGUGAAAUUCGUAGAUAUCAGGAGGAACACCGGUGGCGAAGGCGGCUUUCUGGACACUUACUGACGCUGAGACGCGAAAGCGUGGGGAGCAAACAGG